rnacentral:rRNA from 1 species
UGGGGAAUUUUGCACAAUGGGCGCAAGCCUGAUGCAGCGACGCCGCGUGAGGGAUGAAGGCCUUCGGGUUGUAAACCUUUUUCGCUCAUGGUCAAGCCGCAGCUUUGGGUUGUGGUGAGGGUAGUGGGUAAAGAAGCGCCGGCUAACUACGUGCCAGCAGCCGCGGUAAUACGUAAGGUCCGAGCGUUGUCCGGAAUCAUUGGGCGUAAAGGGUACGUAGGCGGAUAAGCAAGUUAGAAGUGAAAUCCUAUAGCUCAACUAUAGUAAGCUUUUAAAACUGCUCAUCUUGAGGUAUGGAAGGGAAAGUGGAAUUCCUAGUGUAGCGAUGAAAUGCGCAGAUAUUUGGAGGAAUACCGGUGGCGAAGGCGACUUUCUGGCCAUAUACUGACGCUGAGGUACGAAAGCGUGGGUAGCAAACAGG